UUAGAGUUUGAUCCUGGCUCAGGUUGAACGCUGGCGGCAGGCCUAACACAUGCAAGUCGAGCGGAUGAGGGGAGCUUGCUCCCUGAUUUAGCGGCGGACGGGUGAGUAAUGCCUAGGAAUCUGCCUGGUAGUGGGGGAUAACGUUCCGAAAGGAACGCUAAUACCGCAUACGUCCUACGGGAGAAAGCAGGGGACCUUCGGGCCUUGCGCUAUCAGAUGAGCCUAGGUCGGAUUAGCUAGUUGGUGAGGUAAUGGCUCACCAAGGCGACGAUCCGUAACUGGUCUGAGAGGAUGAUCAGUCACACUGGAACUGAGACACGGUCCAGACUCMUACGGGAGGCAGCAGUGGGGAAUAUUGGACAAUGGGCGAAAGCCUGAUCCAGCCAUGCCGCGUGUGUGAAGAAGGUCUUCGGAUUGUAAAGCACUUUAAGUUGGGAGGAAGGGCAUUAACCUAAUACGUUAGUGUUUUGACGUUACCAACAGAAUAAGCACCGGCUAACUUCGUGCCAGCAGCCGCGGUAAUACGAAGGGUGCAAGCGUUAAUCGGAAUUACUGGGCGUAAAGCGCGCGUAGGUGGUUCGUUAAGUUGGAUGUGAAAGCCCCGGGCUCAACCUGGGAACUGCAUCCAAAACUGGCGAGCUAGAGUACGGUAGAGGGUGGUGGAAUUUCCUGUGUAGCGGUGAAAUGCGUAGAUAUAGGAAGGAACACCAGUGGCGAAGGCGACCACCUGGACUGAUACUGACACUGAGGUGCGAAAGCGUGGGGAGCAAACAGGAUUAGAUACCCUGGUAGUCCACGCCGUAAACGAUGUCAACUAGCCGUUGGAAUCCUUGAGAUUUUAGUGGCGCAGCUAACGCAUUAAGUUGACCGCCUGGGGAGUACGGCCGCAAGGUUAAAACUCAAAUGAAU
rnacentral:rRNA from 1 species